GAGGUGGGAGGAUUGCUUGAGCCUGGGAGAUUGAGGCUGCAGUGAGCUGUGAUUGUGCCACUGCACUCCAGCCUGAGUGACAGAGUGAGAUCCUGUCUC
ensembl:miRNA